CUGCUUCUUUAAUACAGUUGAAACUGAAAAUUUUGUGUAAAGUGAAUGGAGGGUGUUUUACCAGCACCAGCAGGGCUGAAUUUUACAGUGAAUUCUCUGAGAUGUUUAAGUUCCUUUACUAGAUAGAAAUAUUUUUUUAAACUUAAGCCAAUAUAUCUGCUAACUCAAAAGGUGUGUUUUGGGUAAAUUGUUUACAUUUAUUCAAUGUGGGGCUGCUCCAAAGUUUUCUCGCUUAGUUCCCUUGGCAUCAUCCUCUGAGUUGGGCUUCUUCCAGACAGUUUUUGAAACGGAUUCCAUGUUUGAGGCCAGGAGGAGUCAUUACCUGAAAGAACAGGUGAA